GCGCAGCAGUCGCGAAAACUCCGCAAUGUCCGAAAGGGCGACGGGGGAACUCCAAGUGCCUUGCCUUUUGGUAAGGCUUUUGUGUAGUGUAGAUAGCUGGGGGAAUAAGGAGAGGGCAAGUCUGGUGUCAGCCGCCGCGGUAAUACCAGCUCUUCGAGUGGUAGGGAUGUUUAUUGGGCCUGAAGCAUCCGUAGCUGGCUGAACAAGUCCUCCGUUAAAUCCAGCGAUUUAAUCGUUGGAUUGCGGGGGAUACUGCUCGGCUAGGGGGUGGGAGAGGCCAACGGUAUUCUCGGGGUAGGGGUGAAAUCCUAUAAUCCCGGGAGGACCACCAGUGGCGAAGGCUGUUGGCUAGAACACGCCCGACAGUGAGGGAUGAAAGCUGGGGGAGCGAACCGGAUUAGAUACCCGGGUAGUCC
rnacentral:rRNA from 1 species